ensembl:antisense Gm16131 predicted gene 16131
AUGUGACCCCACCAGAGUGAGGAGGCCUAUAGCCCAUGGGAUUGUUCUGUGUUCUGACACCAGGGAAGAGUUUGGCUAACCUUAGCCUGGGAUAUACACCAGGACUGUUGUCUGAGUGAAGAUAAAUUUGUUCCUGGUGAAGGUCAGGCUCUGGCCAGGAUCCUGCUGCUCAAUGACCUCAGUGACAGCUGAGCAGGCUGGAAGGGGGUCCUCAUCAUUGACUUGCAACUGCACCCCAGCGCUGGAGCCUGCCUGCAGUGGGUUCUCAGCUGACAGCCUCAGGGCGUACCGGCCCUCUUCAUUAAAUCCCACACUCAAGAUCUCAAACUCCAGGUCCAGCGUCUUCUCUCCAGCCUUCAGUCUCUGGCUCAGCAGGGAUGCAGGGAGGUAGGGAUCAGGACCUCUAAAGGUCAUGGCUUCAGCCAGGGUCAGAACUCCAGGCUGAGCCCUGCCCUUUCCUGCUCACAGUCCCAUCCUGGGUCCAGUCAGAAAGCAGACAGGUUAGGCACUUGGGGCCACACCUCACCCUUCUCUGUUUGUUUGAGAAGGAUCCAGGCAACAAGCCAGGAAACUGAGCCUGAACUGGGGAACAAAGGCAUCAAUUAAUUCUUCCCAUUUAGCAUUUGAUCUGUCAGUAAAUAUUUAUUGAGAACCUACUA